rnacentral:rRNA from 1 species
CAGUCGCCGCGGGAAUACAGAGGGUGCGAGCGUUAAUCGGAUUUACUGGGCGUAAAGCGUGCGUAGGCGGCUUCUUAAGUCGGAUGUGAAAUCCCUGAGCUUAACUUAGGAAUUGCAUUCGAUACUGGGAAGCUAGAGUAUGGGAGAGGAUGGUAGAAUUCCAGGUGUAGCGGUGAAAUGCGUAGAGAUCUGGAGGAAUACCGAUGGCGAAGGCAGCCAUCUGGCCUAAUACUGACGCUGAGGUACGAAAGCAUGGGGAGCAAACAGGAUUAGAUACCCGUGUAGUCCCUGUUUCUUAUAC